rnacentral:rRNA from 1 species
CCUACGGGAGGCAGCAGUAGGGAAUCUUCCACAAUGGACGAAAGUCUGAUGGAGCAACGCCGCGUGAGUGAAGAAGGGUUUCGGCUCGUAAAGCUCUGUUGGUAGGGAAGAAAGAGUGAGGUAGUAACUGGCCGUUAUUUGACGGUAAUUACUUAGAAAGUCACGGCUAACUACGUGCCAGCAGCCGCGGUAAUACGUAGGUGGCAAGCGUUGUCCGGAUUUAUUGGGCGUAAAGCGAGUGCAGGCGGUUCAAUAAGUCUGAUGUGAAAGCCUUGGGCUUAACCGGGGAAUUGCAUCAGAUACUGUUGAACUUGAGUGCUGAAGAGGAGGGUAGAACUCCAUGUGUAGCGGUGGAAUGCGUAGAGAUGUGGAAGAACACCAGUGGCGAAGGCGGCUCUCUGGUC